rnacentral:rRNA from 1 species
UACGUAGGGUGCGAGCGUUAAUCGGAAUUACUGGGCGUAAAGCGUGCGCAGGCGGUUGUGUAAGACAGAUGUGAAAUCCCCGGGCUCAACCUGGGAACUGCAUUUGUGACUGCAAGGCUCGAGUGCGGCAGAGGAGACUGGAAUUCCUGGUGUAGCAGUGAAAUGCGUAGAUAUCAGGAGGAACACCGAUGGCGAAGGCAGGUCUCUGGGCUGACACUGACGCUCAUGCACGAAAGCGUGGGGAGCAAACAGG